rnacentral:rRNA from 1 species
CAGCAGCCGCGGUAAUACGUAGGUGGCAAGCGUUGUCCGGAAUUAUUGGGCGUAAAGGGCUCGCAGGCGGUUUCUUAAGUCUGAUGUGAAAGCCCCCGGCUCAACCGGGGAGGGUCAUUGGAAACUGGGAAACUUGAGUGCAGAAGAGAAGAGUGGUAUUCCACGCGUAGCGGUGAAAUGCGUAGAGAUGUGGAGGAACACCAGUGGCGAAGGCGACUCUCUGGUCUGUAACUGACGCUGAGGAGCGAAAGCGUGGGGAGCGAACAGGAUUAGAUACCCCCGUAGUCCCUGUCUCUUAUAC